GCUAAACGAAAAAUAGAGUACAAAAAUGUCAGUCAUUUGCUUACCAUAGACUUUUUUUAUUAGAAUGGAAAGGCAAAGGCAUAGAUUUAGAAGGGCCCCGCGCGAAAGUAUUACCAUAGAGUCUAUGGUAAUCCAAAAGGAUUACCAAUCCCUUUGCCUUUCCAGACUUGGAUAUAUAUGGAGACAUCAAUAACAAUUUCAGCCAUGGCUUUAGCUGAAGGGGCUAAUGCAUCAUUCAAGUCUAGCACAUCUCUACUUGAAGUUACAUGACCUGCAGAUAACAACAUUCCAAUAGCACCUUCCAAUUCACAUAUUUUUUUACAAACUUCUAUUUCAUUUUUCACUUCCCUUUGUAACAAUGUAUAUAAAAGUAAAUUAGAUUCCGAAAA